UUUUGUUGCUUUAUUGCAAAGAUGGGUCUCUCCAGCUUUCAAACUUUUCCCUGCUGCGUUUUACCUUUGCUUUUAACUCUUUCCUCAUGAGAACGGAAAAGAAGCUCUCUUCUCUCACCAUUUCUAUCUUCUACAGUUCAGAUUCCCUGAAAAAGCUCCCAUCUCUCCCACCAUUUUCCAUCGUAUGCAGUUCAGAUUCACUGUGAAGUUCUGGAAUCGAGAGUCUCUGAGAGCUAUCCCUUCAUAAUUCACCCAUAAAUCGCCAAAAAAGCAGCCCUUUUCCUCAAUCUGAAGCAAAAAAAAAAAAAAAACCCCUAGAUUCUUUCAAACCCGUCUCCUUUAGUUUUCAACACGGAUACUUGAAUCGAUGUAGAGUGAAACGCCGUCCUCGUUACGGAUCCUGUCGUUGUCGUUGUCAAACUUCUGUAGCAGAUCCGUCAUACUCGCAUUUAGGGGUUCUCGAAGAAGAGCAACCUUUGUCCUCUACUUGAUCGAACUCGUUGGUUUAUACAAGUCAACGACCAAAAGCACCUAACCCUCCUUCAACGGCUAGUGUGACUUUCCCGCCAACUCCAAUCACAAUUCAUAAUCAGAAAUGCUCUCACAAAAAUCUGAUGAUCAGCUUUACAAUCAUCUGCUCCAAAUCUCAACGUCUGUUGCAAAACCCGAUCUUAGUUCCAUUUUCUUUUCUCCUUCACACUCGCUCCUUUCCACCCCACAAACAGAAACCCAUCAACUGGAACACAACCCACACUCUUGUUCAAUCCAAUCCUCUUCUCUCUCUUCUCGAGAAUUCCAAUUCCAUCUCCCAUUUGAAGCAAAUCCAAGCCCGAAUGACCAUUACCGGAUUAAUCUCUGACCCCUUUGCUUCGAGUCGUCUUGUCGCCUUUUGCGCGCUAUCUGAAUCAAGAAAUCUGGAUUAUUGUACCAAGAUUUUGCUCAGCUUGGAGAACCCAAAUGUGUUUUCCUGGAAUGUAGCCAUUAGAGGGUAUUUGGAAAGCGAAUCGCCGAGGGAAGCGCUUGCUUUGUACAAGCGGAUGUUCCGAGAUGGCGGGUCGUGGCCGGAUAAUUAUACUUACCCUUUGUUGUUGAAAGUUUGUGCGAAUUUGCAAGAGAAGUUAAUGGGUUUAAAGCUUCUUGGGCAUGUGUUGAAGUUGGGUUUUGAUGCUGAUGUGUUUGUUCAUAAUGCGGUGAUUCAUAUGCUUGUGUCAUGUGGAGAACUGCGGGAUGCAUGUAAGGCGUUUGAUGAAAGUCGUGUGAGAGAUUUAGUUUCUUGGAAUUCUUUGAUCAAUGGGUACGCUCGAGCUGGGCUGGCGCAUGAGGCGUUAAGGCUAUUUCAGGAAAUGGAGGAUGAUAGAGUUAAGCCGGAUGAAGUUACAAUGGUUGGGUUGGUUUCUUCGUGUGCUCAACUAGGGGAUUUGGACAAGGGGAGAGAGUUUCAUCGAACUAUUCGAGUAAAUGGACUGAGUUUGACCGUUCCUCUGGCUAAUGCGCUUAUGGACAUGUAUGCCAAGUGUGGUCACCUUGAAGCGGCUCAAGAAUUAUUUAGUGAGAUGACGAAUAAAACUGUCGUCUCAUGGACUACAAUGAUAGUUGGUUAUGCCAAAUUCGGAUUUCUGGAAGCCGCUUGGAAGCUUUUGUAUGAAAUGCCGGAGAAUAAUGUUGUGCCGUGGAAUGCAAUGAUUAGCGGCUAUGUUCAAGCAAAGUGCGGUAAGGAAGCGCUAGCUGUGUUUCAUGAGAUGCAAGCUAGGAACAUAAGGCCUGAUGAGAUCACCAUGGUGGGCUGCUUAUCAGCAUGCUCGCAACUUGGAGCACUUGAUAUUGGAAUAUGGAUUCACCGUUAUAUUGAAAAACAUAUUGUUUCCUCAAACGUUGCGUUGGGAACUGCUCUUGUUGAUAUGUAUUCCAAAUGUGGGAACAUCAAAAAGGCCCUUCAGGUGUUUCAAGAAAUGCCAGGGAGAAACUCUGUGACUUGGACAGCUAUUAUAUGUGGUUUGGCUGUUCACGGGCACGCAAGCGAUGCCAUAUUUUACUUCGAAAAGAUGAUUGAUACAGGGCUGAUGCCAGAUGAGAUCACCUUCAUUGGGGUCUUAUCCGCUUGUUGUCAUGGAGGCUUGAUUGAAGAGGGUCGCAAGUAUUUUUCGCAAAUGAGAUCAAAAUUCAAUCUUUGCCCCAACUGCAAACACUACUCUUGCAUGGUGGAUCUUCUUGGUCGGGCUGGUCUUUUGGUAGAGGCAGAAGAGCUUAUCAUGAGCAUGCCUAUCAAGGCAGAUGCUGUCAUUUGGGGUGCAUUGUUCUUUGCUUGUCGCAUUCAUAAAAAUGUUGUGAUGGGAGAAAGAGCAGCUUUCAAACUUUUUGAGUUGGAUCCUCAUGAUAGCGGAAAUUAUAUCUUGCUUGCAAGUAUGUAUGGGGAAGCAAAUAUGUGGGAGGGGGCAGAGAAGGCACGGAAGAUGAUGAGGGAGAAAGGAGUAGAGAAGACUCCCGGCUGUAGCUCAAUUGAGGUGAACGGCAUUGUAUGUGAGUUUACCGUCAGAGACAAUAUGCACCCUCAUUCACGGCAAAUAUACGACUGUUCGUUUCAGUUAACAAGAGAAAUAGAGAUGGUUGGUUCUGUACGAGGUGUUCGUACAUUCAGGGAUUACUUUUUCGUUGGUGCGGAAUUUGGCUAAUGAAUGGCUAAUAUGUAUGUCAGCUUUGUCAAAUUGUAGUCAAGCAACUACAAACUUUCAAUGAAGCACAUAACAAUGAAGAAGAGUGCCGAAGGACCUGGUGUCUAAAACGUUGAAGAAAUGUCCAAAAGAGUGCAUGUUGAAGGUGUUUGUUUUACUAGGAAAACGAGUAAACAUUAUUAGUAUUGUUAACCAGCUUAUCAGCAAUCUCAUCUUCUAGAAAAGUGCCCAGAAUUUUUUGGUUCCCCGGGUAUCUUUCCGUAACCUUCUUCAGAUUCAGUCUUACCCAGCUUGCUUCACCAUAGUUUUACCAGAGCUGCUAUAUCCAAACAUGCUGCUUCUCUGAUUGAUUGUCUGAAACUUUUGCUAUAAUACCCGGAUGAUUAAAUGUACUCUUUACUCUGUUUUUUCUAUGUCGAAGAAAUAUUUAAGCCAGUU